rnacentral:lncRNA from 1 species
AAUAUAAUAUGGUACCAACAGAGUGCAUUAGCGAGUUGGAAUGAACUCAUUCCACACGUGACGUUAGAGCAUAAGCAUGAAGGCAAUUUUGUGAAAAACAUGUUCAUUUGAGCAAACUCUAUGGCAUGAAAUUAACAAUUAAAGGUGGAAUCAUGCUUGUAUGCACUCAAAAACAAAACAUUACCCAUGAAAUUCAAAGCGUAGUAGAAAGGUGAACCAAGACUCAACUCAAGAAUAUAGUGAGUUGAGAUAUUUUAUACCUUUGUUGAUUCCUCUUUGCAUAAGCAAAGGCUAAUCACCCAAGGAGAGGGUCUUCAUUCCUUGCUUCUUAGUUCCAUUGAUUUCUUGGAGGAGGAUGGUAGAAAGGAUUCUCCAAGUUCCCAAAAUUGAGAACCUCUAAUUUUUCCACACCAAGGAGGGACUUGAAGAAGAGAUGAGUGACCUUGGAGGAUGAGAGAUUGCUAGCUAAUCUCCUACAAAGGGGGCUGGCCUCUUAGAGAGAAAAAGAGAGCAUUGUGUUCUCAUCCUUUCCCCAAAAGAAAACCCUAAGGAUGAAAUGGCUAUAAAGUUGUCUUUAUACCACCUCAUAAUGGAGUGGCAAACUUGCAAUUAAAGCAAGUUCACUACCCUCCUCUAUUUG